rnacentral:rRNA from 1 species
UUGUAGAAGGUGCUUCGGGCGCGGUCACGGUCCAAGUCCCUUGGAACAGGGCGUCACAGAGGGUGAGAAUCCCGUACGCGGCUGACGACCAAGCCUGGGUGAAGCCCUUUCGACUAGUCGAGUUGUUUGGGAAUGCAGCUCUAAAUGGGUGGUAAAUUUCAUCUAAAGCUAAAUAUCUGCCAGAGACCGAUAGCGCACAAGUAGAGUGAUCGAAAGAUGAAAAGCACUUUGAAAAGAGAGUCAAAAAGUACGUGAAAUUGUUGAAAGGGAAGCGAUUGCAAUCAGACUCGUUAGCGGGUGUUCAGCCGCUGUACGCAGUGGUGCACUCUCCCGCUUCGGGCCAGCAUCGGUUCCGGCGACCCGAUAAAGGCCUCGGGAACGUAGCUCUCUUCGGAGAGUGUUAUAGCCCGAGGUGUAAUGCGGCCAGCUGGGACCGAGGACCACGCAUUGCUAGGAUGCUGGCAUAAUGAUUGUAAUCGGCCCGUCUUGAAACCCGGACCAAGGAGUCGACCAAUCGCGCGAGUGUUUGAGUGAAAAACUCGCACGCGUAAUGAAAGUAAACGUAGGUGGGAGCCUUCGGGUGCACCAUCGACCGAUCUUGAUGUUUUCGGAUGGAUUUGAGUAUGAGCCCGAUUGGUCGGACCCGAAAGAUGGUGAACUAUGCGUGAAUAGGGUGAAGCCAGAGGAAACUCUGGUGGAGGCUCGCAGCGGUUCUGACGUGCAAAUCGAUCGUCAAAUUUGCGCAUAGGGGCGAAAGACUAAUCGAACCGUCUAGUAGCUGGUUCCCGUCGAAGUUUCCCUCAGGAUAGCAGCAGCGAAAUUAGUCUCAUGAGGUAGAGCAAACGAUUAGAGGUCUUGGGGUUGAAAUCGAC